UUAUCUCAGAGGUCCUAUUUUAAAGAUCUAAGCGCACAGCAUGAAGCGCCUGGCGCUGGUGCAUUUAGGACGUGUCCAAAUCCACUUUGCUAGUUCGA